rnacentral:rRNA from 1 species
UACGGAAUGUGCAAACGUUAUUCGGAAUCACUGUGCUUAAAGAGUCCGUAGGCGGCUUGUUAGGUGAGGUGUGAAAUCCCUCGGCCCAACCGAGGAAUUGCGCUUCAAACCGGCAAGCUAGAGGAGGAUAGAGGUGGGCGGAACUGAUGGUGGAGCGGUGAAAUGCGUUGAUAUCAUCAGGAACACCGGAGGCGAAGGCGGUCCACUGGGUCCUAUCUGACGCUGAGGGACGAAAGCUAGGGGAGCGAACGGG